rnacentral:rRNA from 1 species
AGUGAACGCUGGCGGUAGGCCUAACACAUGCAAGUCGAACGGCAGCACAGUAAGAGCUUGCUCUUACGGGUGGCGAGUGGCGGACGGGUGAGGAAUACAUCGGAAUCUACUUUUUCGUGGGGGAUAACGUAGGGAAACUUACGCUAAUACCGCAUACGACCUACGGGUGAAAGCAGGGGAUCUUCGGACCUUGCGCGAUUGAAUGAGCCGAUGUCGGAUUAGCUAGUUGGCGGGGUAAAGGCCCACCAAGGCGACGAUCCGUAGCUGGUCUGAGAGGAUGAUCAGCCACACUGGAACUGAGACACGGUCCAGACUCCUACGGGAGGCAGCAGUGGGGAAUAUUGGACAAUGGGCGCAAGCCUGAUCCAGCCAUACCGCGUGGGUGAAGAGGGCCUUCGGGUUGUAAAGCCCUUUUGUUGGGGAAGAAAAGCAGCAGGUUAAUACCCCGCUGUUCUGACGGUACCCAAAGAAUAAGCACCGGCUAACUUCGUG